UAUAUGGGGUGAAAAUUGCUAUACAGACAAUCAGUCUAGUUCUCGAAAUACAAGGAUUUGAUUACAGUAGCUACGUACUUGUAAAACUACUUGUGAGAAAAAUUUCAAGUGGUGCAUUACAAGUCGGACCUUUUCAUGAAAAAACUGAAACUGCCAAAGGUUCAGAAAAUUUACGCGUCAACGUUUUUCACUGGAUUCUCACUGUAUUCGCUGCCAUGUUAAUUCUACUGGUAUUAUUUUUGAUCUUUCAAC